GGGGACGUUCUUGGAUUCGACGGGGAUAGUUCGAGCAUAGGUAGCGGGUAGUGGGGAGCGUCCGCUUUAUCAACGCUACAGCCAAUUAAAUGGCAAACAACAACAACCUGCUCUUUUAGCGACUUAAUAACCUGCUAGAGCGCUCCUACUCUGCAUCGCCCAUGUGCCGGGAUAGGGGCUCAACCUUCAGUGGGAUACGCUGUCUAGUCUCCGCCUGCGGCUAGCUGAAGAAGACAACCAGGCUGACCCAACGCAGAGCCGGUUACGGGGCGCCGCUCGGGUGACAUCAAAACUGUGACUACACCCGUAGAAGCUUAUGUGGCGUUAUCUUCGGACAGGGGUUCGACUCCCCUCGUCUCCAUAC
rnacentral:tmRNA from 1 species